rfam:Gossypium raimondii Chr13_contig_181, whole genome shotgun sequence.
AAUAGGAGAAUGACAAAUCAAAUUUUUUUCUCCUGAUUUUCUGCUUUUUACUCCUGAAAAAAUUUAAAUUCAACUAAAAAUGCUAAAAAUUGAGAGAAAAAUCUGAUUUGUCAUUUUCCUAUU